rnacentral:rRNA from 1 species
UACGUAGGGGGCAAGCGUUGUCCGGAUUUAUUGGGCGUAAAGAGCGUGUAGGCGGUUUGGUAGGUCCGCUGUGAAAACUCGAGGCUCAACCUCGAGACGCCGGUGGAAACCAUCAGACUAGAGUCCGGAAGAGGAGAGUGGAAUUCCUGGUGUAGCGGUGAAAUGCGCAGAUAUCAGGAGGAACACUAAUGGCGAAGGCAGCUCGCUGGGACGUGACUGACGCUGAGACGCGAAAGCGUGGGGAGCAAACAGG